rnacentral:lncRNA from 1 species
AUCCCAGCUCCCAGAAGGUACCUGCCCCCCAACACAGCACACAAAAGCAGACACGUGUGCACAUUCAUGUCCCAUAGCACCCCAUUCCCUAGCCUUCCCCAGACCCAUUCCUAGUCCGUCUUGAAGAGAACACUGGGGGUGGAAAGGCUGCAGGAGAAAAGCCAACAGGCAGGCCCCACAAUUUCCACCACCAGGCUUUGAGCUGCUUCCUCCCUUGGCCUAGGCAGAGAACUGGCCCGUACCUGCCCACCAGAAAACAGGGGAAUUACUCAAGUGCAAGAUUAAAGGCAAUAAUGAGCAAUCAGACCGAACUGGAAUGACAGUAGGGGAAGGUGAAGAGACUUUGGGAAAAGGAAGAGCACUGAAGUCAGACCUGGCACAGCCUUUUACGAGCUAUGUAAUCUCAGGUGAGUCGCUCCCCUUUUCCAAACUUCAGUUUCCUUAUCUAUAAAAUGGCAAUAAUAGUGCCUACUUCAGAAGGUUAAGAGUUUUCAGCAAAAUAAUGUAUGCAGAAUAUUACAGAUUCUGGCACACAAUAGAUGCUUAAAAAAAUGUUAGUUCCCACCUUUUCUCCUUUAGUGGGUCCACAGCGAAUCCCCUCCACUUCCUGCUCCCAUAACCUCACUGUAAGGAGAAACACCCCAAAAUAAGAUGGAACCACCUCUAGGUGCAGGGUUGUCCCUGUUCUAAAUUAGACCACAUCCAGGUACUGCCUGAGAGAGCAACCAACAUGCCUCUUCCUCCUCUCUGCUUCUUUCUUCAGAGGCCCUUGGAUCCCCCACCUUUCCUCCUCUCCUUCCUCCUUCCUCACUUACAGUAAAGCAGACCUGGGUUCCAAUCACCUCCCACUCUCCUCUAGGCUCUAAGCCCAGCUGUGUGUGGAGCGGCAGGGGAAGGAGGCCCCAAGCCUCCCACCCUACCCAGCCCCCAGCUUCAUCCCACUCUCCCCUCUCCCUGCCCCACCCUGAUUACCAGGAUAUCCUCAGGUCUGCUGAUUCCAAGCCUGCUUCUCUCAAACCAGUUCCCAGCUGUUAUGUCUAUAAUUACCAAUCUUGCCAGGGGCAUCCGACAAAGCACAGCAAAACCUCAUUUCCAAAGGGCCCCACCAUAAAGGGCCUCUGCCUCCUACUCUGUACCAAGCAGGGUAGAGACAAGGAAUGCAAACAUUCUCCCUGGCCCACCACAGUUCUAUCCAGACUACAACAGAGAAGGUGAGAGAGGGCUGCCCAAGCCACAUCACCAAGAGACAGGAUAAAGAAGGGGAGGGCCGCCGUAGGGUAGAAUGUGAGUAGGACUUAGUCCCAGGCCUUUCCUUCACCUCUGCUGCCAAAAUCUCAUCAUGCACAGGGUUACCCACCUGUGGAAGGUAAAAGGGAAAAUUUCAGGUCAAUUCAGAGAGAGGGGAAGCUGAUGUCAAGUGAACAGGGAGAUGGCUCCCCACAAGGAUGAGGGUUGAUGCAUACAGGAGUGAGCUGCCCAGGAAAGAGGAGGAAAGAGCAAGUUUUAAAAGUCCCAUCCCCAGCCCAGACCCUGAGAAGAGGCAAUAAUACCCUAGCCUCUCUUCUCCCCUAAUACCUCCAACUCUACCAAGCCCAUAGCACAAGCAGGAAAGGGAUGAUUAACUUUGUUUUAUAGACAGAGAAACUGAGGCCAAAUCCCCACUUCAUACUGCAAGGUACAGGACUACCAAAUACCCUGUGUGCCUUCUUGCUCACGCUCAGCCUCCACCAGGAGUGCCAUCCUAAGACCCUUCCUGUUGGCCUAACUCAUCCUUUAACCAGCUAACAGGGCAUCUCCUGCAGGAACCUUCCCUGGCACCUCACCCCAGGGCCAAGCACUCUUCCUCUAUGCUCCAGUGGCCUCCUGAACACACCUCCACACAGCACUCACUGGGCUGCAGUGAAUCAACAUGUUUUCACAUGUCUCCCCUGGGAAAACAUCUUAUUUGCCCCUCCAUCCCCUGUGCUUCACACUGUGCCUGGCAGAUAGGAGAGAGUGCCUAAUGUGGUCGGCCAAAGGAAGAUCAGAACCAAAGCCUAGUUCUCCUAUCCCGACUCCGACCUCUCUCCCUUAAUGAUGAUUAUCCCUCAGAAUCCGAACCAUCCAGCUAACAUUUACUAUGUGCCAGGAACUGUGCAACGUGCUUUCUCUAUUAUUUCAUUUAAUCCUCAUAACCCCAAGAAGUAGGGCCUAUUAUUAAUUCCAUUUUACAGGUGAGGCUUCAAAAAGUUACCAGUUUUGUCUGAUGUCACGGAAUUAGACAGUGGCAAAGCCAGAAUUUAAAAGCAAACCAGGGAAGAAAGCCACUUGGUGGGGGACCAGGGAUUCCUUGUGGAAGGGCUCAGUCUAGGCUUGGAGGAUGUGCCUUAAGACACCUAAGAGGCUGGGGAAUGGGGUUUAUUACUUGCCCAGAUCACACCACUGUUAAGUACUAAUUCCAACCAACUCUGACUCCUUUCUCUGGCCUCACAAUGUGAUGAACACUUGAGGGAAGGAGAAGACUGGAGUUCCCUAAAACUCAGAGGGGAUCAGAUCUCUUCCUUUUCCCUGCCAAAGCUUCUGUUAGUCAAGUUCCCUCCCCAUUAACUGGAAGGACCUGGAAACCAGAUGAGCAGAUAAAAAACUGUCCUGCUCUAGGGCCAGGGAAGGGGGGAUAUUUCCUCAGAUCUAAAAGGAUCAGGAGGAGAGGCAAACACACCAGAGAGGCCUGCCCCGGAAGAAUUAGAGGAAAUAGAAGUCAGGAGCAAGACAAUGGGUGAGGAGGGGCCAACGUGGCCACUGACUCCCAAUCUGGAAGUACUUUCAGAAAUGGCAUUUCCUAUUAUCUGACCACAAUUCCUCCUCUUUGGAAGAGAGCCCCCACCAGCAUAAUAUAUCAUGCAUGUGAUCAGCGUAUACAGAGCAAACAAGGGACCCCAGAGGGCCAGGGCACACCAUCUUAGAUGCAAGUGCCUUACUAGCCCUGGGAGCCCUAACUAUCAGACAGGUGUUGGGUUUGGGGGAAUGAUCCAUUAAAAAAAAAAAAAGGUCUUUUAAAGGUCUUUUCCUACUCUGCCCCGUUCCCCGUUCCUCGUUCAAACAUUUUCUAACCCCUACUACUCUUAUCUCCAGGCCUUAGGGAGGGUAGGGAGCCCUGAGGACUAAAGAGGGAACAUUCCAAUUG